AGAGUUUGAUCCUGGCUCAGGAUGAACGCUGGCGGCGUGCUUAACACAUGCAAGUCGAGCGAAGCACUCUGCUUUGAUUCUUUCGGGAUGAAGAGCAUUGUGACUGAGCGGCGGACGGGUGAGUAACGCGUGGGUAACCUGCCUCAUACAGGGGGAUAACAGUUAGAAAUGGCUGCUAAUACCGCAUAAGACCACAGCACCGCAUGGUGCAGGGGUAAAAACUCCGGUGGUAUGAGAUGGACCCGCGUCUGAUUAGCUAGUUGGUGGGGUAACGGCCUACCAAGGCGACGAUCAGUAGCCGACCUGAGAGGGUGACCGGCCACAUUGGGACUGAGACACGGCCCAAACUCCUACGGGAGGCAGCAGUGGGGAAUAUUGCACAAUGGGGGAAACCCUGAUGCAGCGACGCCGCGUGAGCGAAGAAGUAUUUCGGUAUGUAAAGCUCUAUCAGCAGGGAAGAAAAUGACGGUACCUGACUAAGAAGCCCCGGCUAACUACGUGCCAGCAGCCGCGGU
rnacentral:rRNA from 2 species